GAUGAACGCUGGCGGCGUGCUUAACACAUGCCAGUCGAACGGAAAGGCCCUGCGCUUGUGGGUUUCUCGAUUGCCGCGCACGUGUGUGACACGUGUGUAACCUGCCCUUGUCUUUGUGAUAACUUCACGAAACUGCGGCUAAUACCCGAGAGGAUCUCCUGCUGCACGGUGGUGGUUGGAAAGUUUCGGUGUUUGUGUCUGUACUCGCGGGUUAUUAGCUAGUUGGUAAGGUAGUGGCUUACCAAGGCUUCGACGGGUAGCCGACCUGAGAGGGUGAUCGGCCACACAGGAACUGAGACACGGUCCAGACUCCUACGGGAGGCAGCAGUAGGGAAUCUUACGCAAUGGGCGAGAGCCUGACGGAGCAACGCCGCGUGAGUGAUGAAGGUCUUCGGAUCGGAAAACGCUGUUAUUAGGGAAGAACAUAUGUGUAAGUAACUGUGCACAGCUUGACGGUACCUAAUCAGAAAGCCACGGCUAACUACGU
rnacentral:rRNA from 1 species